AUGUUUCAGCUCAGGUUGUUUGUUCACCAGCGCCUGUACGCUGCAGCUGAAGAGAUCCUCGGGCAGAUGGAGAAAACCAUCACGUUAGUUUUGCACGAGGCAGACGUUCGAGCUAAAGAGGAGGCGGAAAGUCUGCGACACCAGCUGAAAUCAGCUGGAGAACUUCCAAUGACCAACAGUGCCGUCCAACAUGGAGAUGAAUGUGACUCCCCACUGCUGCAGGAGUGCGAGGGACCCACAAACACAGAAGAGUCUGACUUCACACCGAGCCCUGAGAAUCCAGGAACCCCAGAGCCCACUGCAGAUCUAAGCAGUUACAGUGGGAACUACUGCCUGGUGGAGAGUCCUGAGGUGAAGAUGGAGCAGGAGGAGCAUAGGAAUGAGAGUUUUUUCUCUCCUCCAGGAACUGUGAAAAGUGAGGAAGAGCAGUCGGACACGCAAAUAUAUGAAACGCAGAUGCUUUCUUCAAACUUGUCUGCAGCUGUUAGUGAGGAGACGGAGAGAGGAGAACAGGCCAUAACGGUGAAACAGAAAGCAAAGAUGAUGCAAGGAAAACGCAUCAGUGACGGCAAGAAAGCCCAAGCAGCUUUGUCUUAUAAGAACUGCUCGGUUAAAAGGAAAAAAGGUCGCAAGUUUUGCCAUUUGUGCGGGAAGCGUUUUCACUACACCGCCUCUUUAAUGAAGCACAUAAAAACGCACGAGAAUUGUACCAGUUGCAUUAUUUGUGGGACGAAAUACGGGUGUCCCAAAGAACUUGUUUUUCAUUUGAAAAAGAAACACAGAGAUGCAUAUUUUUGUGAUGUUUGCGGUAAAACUUUUUUCAAAGUCCGCAGCCUCCAGACUCACGAAAGAAAACACACACUGACGAAAGAGUUUGUGUGUCAGGAAUGUGGCAAAACUUACCGGUAUAAACACUGUUUGAUUACGCACAUGAGUAGCCAUUCUGGGGAGUAACCAUACCCUUGCGAUAUUUGUGGUAUGUGAUUUAGUCAAAAUUCAAACAUGAACAGACACAAGACCACCCAUAUGGGAGAGAAGCCUUAGCCCUGCUAUAUGUGUUGUUCGCACCUAAUCUCAAGUCACAUUUGCAAACACGUAUCAAAGCAGGGUGAUGAGUGAUCCCUUUUUUUCCCAUCUAGUUGAAAUUGGAUAGCUUUUAAUAUCGUCCACUUAACACGACUGUGCCUGAUGUGGUGUCAAAUAACUGCAAUUCGUAAUGUUUGGUUUGCUUUAAAGACCAUUGCAUCAUUUCUACAGCUAUAUGCUGCUGUUGGUUAACAUGAUUUUGCUGUUUUCUUUUGGGUUUUUUAAAAUAAGCCUAGGGGGCUUUUAUGAGUGUAGAACAACACAUCUGCAGCUCUUGUUGCCCUCUGUGAUGUUGUGGUGCUAAUUUCCACGGUUGACACUAAGGUUUAACAUCCUACUGUAUAACAUUACAGUGCUGCUUGUCUGCUUGUCUCUGGCUGCAGCCAUGGCGUGCAUACAUUUAUAUGGUAAAUGGUUUUAAAUGUAAUAUUGGUAUUUGUAUUGUCUCAGAUCUGUGGCUAAUGUAGAUACUGUAUGUGGGGUUUUUUCAACAUGUUAUUACUUGAUAAAACUUUCUGCAUUUUGAUGGAUUAGAGUCUGGGAGUCUUUUGAAUGAAGGGAAAGAAGCUUUUGAUAUAUAUAUUUUUUUAACGAUGUCUUUACGAUGCCACAAAAUUAGGAAGUUCAGUACAUUUCAUAGGGGCUUAUUUGUUUCUUUGUGUUUCAAUUUUCAACAGUUUUCCUGUUAUUUUGAAUUCCAGUAAAAUUUCCGAGAAAAUGCCUAAAUCAGGAUAAAGAAACUUCAUUUGUUUUUUUGUAUUUAUCAACUACAAUACUUCUUUGACUCAAAGUCAUGAUGUAAUCACAAUAUUUGGUGAGAUUUCAUAAUGAAAAGGCCUUUGUAAAUAUAUUUUUUUAAAAGUGUUAUGAAGAAGACAACAGUCAGAGACUCAGAAAGCCAACACACAUGCAGUAAAUUAAUUAAACUCCUGCCAUUGUGGCAAAAUACCAUUGAAAGUCAUUCCGAUUAUUGCUGUUUCUUUUUUGGUGUGUUGGGAACUAGAUCACCACCCUCCAAAUGAGAUUGUGCAUGGGGUCUAUCCUCAUAAUAAAUAACUUUUCUUUACAUUUUUAUCUACUUUAGCAAAUUUAAUUUUGUGCUAUUUUGCAACUGGCAGCAUGCUGACAUGCUAAAGUGAGAUUGUGAUGUCCUUACGUUUAAAUGCUUGAAUGUUUACUUUGCAGGAUGAGAGAUCAAAAUAAUAAGGAGCAGUUAUGUGAGGCUGUGGAUAGCAUCAAGGAGAGCGCUCUCAGUGGUGCUUAAUGGACUAGUUUUGAGGGAAUUGCUGUUUAAAACUGGCCCCUGGGCUCAGAAGAUUACACAUGAAAGAGAGGGUCAUUUUGAUAAUAGUUUUUUCAAAGCACUUCUUGACUGCAACAAGAUCAAAAAAGCAUGAACACUUUAUAAGUGUAGAAGAGCUACUAAAGGCACACAACAGCCUAAACACAUUCACAGUGUUAACUGAGUGUUGUAUUUUGCCCUGGCUCAUGUUUCUUAUUAAGUGCACCCACCUGGUUAAAACCCUGUUUGCCUUUAGAGCUGCUCAAAGUCACUUAAAUCACCUUUCUUCAUCUUCCUGAUGCUCAUUUAGAAACUCAUGUUGCAGUUUGAACUGGAUUAAAUACCCUGAUUAUUAAUUUUCAGUUGGAUGAAUGAAACACAGAACUUUGGCCCUGCAAUCUCUCUCCAUUUGGUCAUCUCCAGUGAAGGUGAAAGAUCAGAAGGGUUAUGACGAAAUAAACCUGACCUCUCAACUGGAGCAGCUUCUGACAGUGCACGGACUAUCCUGUCUUUGCACCUUUGUUAAAUGUAGCAUUUAGAUUACUCCUGAAUCACUGAAUGUUGUUUUUAUAUUACACCGUGGGUCUGUUCUCGUAUGACAGGGGUAGGGAACUCCAUGCGUCGAAAGCGGGUGUCCUACAGGUUUUAGAUGUGUCCUUGAUCCAACACAGCUGGCUUAAUUACCUCCUCAACAUGUCUUGAAGUUCUCCAAAGGCCUGGUAAUGAACUAAUCAUUUGAUUCAGGUGUGCUGACCCAGGGUGAGAUCUAAAACCUGCAGGACACCUGCUCUCGAGGCCUGGAGUUCCCUACCCCUGUCCUAUGAGCUCACAGGAGGGGCCGUAGGGCUUUGGUGCUUAGUGGAUUGGGUGGCAGUCGGAGGCAGAGGUCUUGGCGCUCCAAUCUCUGGCCUCCAAAAUUGGCUUGUGGUGCAUGGAAUGUCACCUCACUGGUGGGGAAGGAGCCCAAGCCUGGUGUGUGAGGUUGGGAGUUAGCAACUAUAUAUAGUCUGGCUCAUCUCAAUGCAUAGCUCAGGCUCUGGAACCAGUGUUCAGGAGAUUGGUUAGACUCUGUUCCACUCUGGAAUUCACUGGCUGUACAUUGGGACACACAUGCACAGACAGUCGACGUACGUAGUACCAGAAAGCUACACCGCUGCUGUAACGAAGCAAAUAAAAACAUACAAGUAAAAUAUUCACAAAGCAUUUUUGCGACGUUUGUGGUAAGACUUUUUGCAAUAUGCAUGGACUCCAGACUCAUAAAAAACACACACACACAUUAGUGUGCCAGGAAUGUGGCAAAACACUUCACCGCAGAGAUAA
ensembl:lncRNA